rnacentral:lncRNA from 1 species
AUUUUCUUAGAUCGUACAACCAACGUGGUAAUGCUGGCAUAAUAAUUCCCGGUUGCCAUUUUCUGACAUUUGAAAAGAUCUGAAGAUACGCCCCUUGGAUGCCUGCAGAGAAGCUCUGGGGCUUCAGUCAAUGACUCAGGGUAGCCACCGAACAUGAUGCUCGGGCAGUGGGUGCCACCUGGACUCCACUCUCCCCUCUCUCUGGGAUCAUAGAGUCCAAGGUGUUCUGUGGCCUCUCGGCCAAUCCCAGCAGCUCAGCGUGCAGAAGACCGAGGAGCCAUUGGUCAGUGUAGGAGGUGCCUGGAGUUUUGGAGAUGGGAUCCACAGGAAUUCAACACAACACGAAAUAAUCAACAAAUUCGGGGAAUGUUAAUCUGACCAUCACCAGUUACAAAUGAUGUUUCAUGCUACCUUCUAUUCCUGCCUUCAUAAAUCAAGGAAAAGAAAAAGAGAACAUAUAUCCCCCUACCUUUUGAUUUCCAACAGUCUACUGAGAGGCCAAGAUUAUUUGCAGGGAAAGAAAAGGGGAAUGCCAUCCCCACCCUCUCGCAGCUACGUGCCAGUUCCAGAGCACCUGUUCCCCUCUACUUUGAAAAGGUCAAAAUGUUUUGCCAGUAACUCCCAAAUCAUCUACAGCCAAGGAGAAAAGUGUUUCAAGACAGAGGUGCUCAAUGGUAUCAAAUACUGCCAACAGACCAAGUAAUACAUGCAUUGAAGUGUCUACUGGAUCUAGCUAUAUGAAUUUUUAAUUUAGGACACUUAGGCCAUACUGAAGCAAGGUGACAAAAUGAAUAGCUACAAUGUCUCGUGAAUCUUGGGUUUCCAUUCACCCUGGUAUUCAAGAGAAAUUCUUGCAUCAUGGAAGUUGCAGUUGGAUAGGACUUUCUCAGCUGAACACUGUCAUCUGCCAGAGCUUCAGGCAAGAACCCAGAACAGAUGAAACCCCAGACAUGACAAAAUAAGCCAAAGAAUACCAGGCCAAGGUGUGAAAGGCCAGAUGAGAACAAGCAGCGUACACGAUUCUGUUGCCAACAGAUCUCCCCUAACAGUGUCGUGCACCAAAUUUCCACAGUGAAUGUCAGGAAAAAAUGGCAAUUGAGGUGGGUGGUCAAAAGAGAAGCACAGUCUAUGAUGAAGUCACCCCAGAGAAGUCCUUUUUCCGUUUUCUCCUGAGAAAUUACCAGAAGAAAUUAAAAUCCUUUUGAGUAUUGC